rnacentral:rRNA from 1 species
UUUAUUGGAGAGUUUGAUCCUGGCUCAGGAUGAACGCUGGCGGCGUGCCUAAUACAUGCAAGUCGAGCGAAUGGAUUAAGAGCUUGCUCUUAUGAAGUUAGCGGCGGACGGGUGAGUAACACGUGGGUAACCUGCCCAUAAGACUGGGAUAACUCCGGGAAACCGGGGCUAAUACCGGAUAAUAUUUUGAACCGCAUGGUUCGAAAUUGAAAGGCGGCUUCGGCUGUCACUUAUGGAUGGACCCGCGUCGCAUUAGCUAGUUGGUGAGGUAACGGCUCACCAAGGCAACGAUGCGUAGCCGACCUGAGAGGGUGAUCGGCCACACUGGGACUGAGACACGGCCCAGACUCCUACGGGAGGCAGCAGUAGGGAAUCUUCCGCAAUGGACGAAAGUCUGACGGAGCAACGCCGCGUGAGUGAUGAAGGCUUUCGG